UUGUGAACAGAGGAAUGAAAAAGACAAAAGAGACAGAAAGAAGCCAAGAGACUAAUAAUCAUUUGCUUAUUUAAUCUGCCUAAAAUCAAACUUAUUUUUGUUUCUGUUUGGUGCAGAUGUGCUCCAGGACCAUUCAGCCUUGGGAAAGGAAUUUAGUGCAUUUCUUUCUUACAAACAAGAUAAGGACUUAUUUAUUGGCCAUGGAGGAAAUGACUAACUCCUGAGCAGGCAGUCAAGGACCUGCUGAUAGAUUUCAGGAAACCAAGGGGCCUGGUGAGAGAUUUGCAGAAAAUUUUCUGAUGUGGUUUUCUGCCUUUCAAGACAUUGCUGAUUUGUCUGUUUGAAAGAAAAAAAUUACUGCUGCUUUAAAGAUUUGGUGGUAAGCUUUCAUAUUCAAAAAUCAGAUUUUCCAUGAAGUUAACUGAUGAAAAGGAAAAAGACAAGA
rnacentral:lncRNA from 1 species